rnacentral:rRNA from 1 species
AUUGAACGCUGGCGGCAUGCCUUACACAUGCAAGUCGAACGGCAGCGGGCCCUUCGGGGUGCCGGCGAGUGGCGAACGGGUGAGUAAUGCAUCGGAACGUACCCGGGAGAGGGGGAUAACCGGCCGAAAGGCUGGCUAAUACCGCAUGAACUCGGAAGAGCAAAGCGGGGGACCUUCGGGCCUCGCGCUCUCGGAGCGGCCGAUGUCCGAUUAGGCUAGUUGGUGGGGUAAAGGCCCACCAAGGCGACGAUCGGUAGCGGGUCUGAGAGGACGAUCCGCCACACUGGGACUGAGACACGGCCCAGACUCCUACGGGAGGCAGCAGUGGGGAAUCUUGGGCAAUGGGCGCAAGCCUGAUCCAGCAAUGCCGCGUGGGUGAAGAAGGCCUUCGGGUUGUAAAGCCCUUUCGGCGGGGAAGAAAUCGGUCAGGCGAAUAGUCUGGCCGGAUGACGGUACCCGCAGAAGAAGCACCGGCUAACUACGUG